UUUCAGAUUUCUGAAACUGAAAUUUCAGUGACAUUGGCUAUAUUUUAGGGUACCAUAACUUUUGUUUUAUAUGCUUUUAGUUAUGGGUUGCUAUACAAAAGACAUAUAGCUAUGAAUAUAGAAUAACUUUGGUGAAGAGAUAGUGGUCUGUUGCUAUGAAGAAUUGGGAGAUCAGAGGGCCUGAACUGGGAGGAAUGGAAUGAAGCAGCAGGCUGAUACAAUUGAGUUCAAUGUGGCAUUCGAAUUCUGAAGAAGAUCACUUCCUCUUUGUUAGGUUACUCGAGUAUUGGAUGGAGUCAAGGUUGAGAUACAUCACUAUGGGUCUAGGGGCCUUAUUUGCUGCUGGGAAAAUAGCAGAUUUGGACUGUUUUGGUGGGCAGUGAGGCCUUAUCUGUUGGAUCUGUGGUGGAAUUAACUAGACAGCAAAAAUCCAGUGGUUUCAUGCCUUCACCCCAGUAGCAAAUAUCAAGUUUUGGACCAUAGUGCAUACCCAAGUGGGAGACUUAUCUACUCCCUUUCCUAUCUGUUUACCGAACGAAGGGAUGGAUAUUUUGGCUGUGUGAGAUAGACUAAAUGCAGUGUAUUUGAGCUGUGGUUAUGAGCCUAUGUGGUGUGGGUGCAUGGGAGCCACGUACAAUAGGUCAUGCAGUGCUGGCAUUCCCACGGUUCUCCUACAUCAGGUCUGAGUUGAGCUCCAUACCCUGCCUACACAUUCAGUUGUACUUGUCCAUAUCCAGUACCCUUCGCUUGGGUUCAGUAAAGCUUCCCCUUGCCCUCAGGUUUUAGCUCGAGACCACUGCGUAAGUGCUGGAAUUCCUGUGUUCACGCUAGUACUCACCUCUCCCCAGUCACCAAACUUCGCCCCUCACAGAAACUUGCACGCCAUCUUCCUGCCAGUGGUGACCAUAGCAGCAGUUUACAUCCUCACCAUGGCCAAGAUUCGUCGGAGGUUGUCUCGGUCGUGUGGUGCCCGUUCCUUGUUCCUCAUAGGUCAGUGAAGCUCACACCAUUUACUGCUUGAACUCUACCACUAUUGGUUGCCUGGAACUAGGUGUGAAAUUUGCUCAAACAUAGGCUGUCAGAUUUCUGGAUCCCAGACUUAGUGCAUAAGGCUGAAACUAGGUUUUAGUGUGUUGAGCUCCACUUUGGUGCUUCAUAAAAAUUGUUCUGAAUGUUUUCAACCUAGGGGUGCUAUACCAAAGUAGUAGAGCUAUAUCUAAGGAAUAACUUUGGUAAUGUGAGUUUGGUCUGUUGCUGUGUAAAAAUUGGAGAAAAGGUUGGCUAAAGUUGGUCUAUCAGGAUGGACACACAACUGAAUUUUUAUUCAGUUCUGAGAACUGAAUUGCAGCAGGAUGCCUAGUUUGGAAUUCAUUUGUGACUGAUUCAUGGGGUUUUGGAUUAAGGGUUCCAUAGCAACGUUGUAGACCAUAGUAAAGUGAACAAGUUUGCUAAAGUGAGAUGGACCUGGUUUCACAUAAAUUUGAGAGUAAAAGUGACCAAAAGUUUGACUGUCAGGUGGUUGGUGACUUAGUCUAUUCAGAACUGAAAGUCUGAAAUCAGUAAUUUUAGUGCAGUUUUGGAGCUAUGUAGUGCCUGUUCUAGGUGGUUUUGAACCAAAGUUUCUACAGCAAGUUUGAAGAACAUGUGUUAGAGAACAACAUCCUUUAGGUGAGUUGGGGUUGAUCCCACACACAAAGUGGUGUAAAGACUGCCCAAAGAUGGACUUUCAGUUGCGGAGACUGAAUUUCAUUCAGCUGCCUGAAAACUGAAUUUGCAAUGUGUAUUUUCAGUCUUGGAGUGUUAUACCAAAGUGGAAGAGCAAUACUUAGGGAAUAGAUUUGGUUAAGUAAGUGGGUCUCUUGUCAUUUGAGUUUAUGAGAUAAAAGGCAUUGAACAGAGGGGAGAGGAAUGGAGCAAUGGAAGAUGAAUUCAGAGAACUGAAAGUAGGUUCAAUGAAUUGUGGCUUAUUCUUGGACACUAUAACUUGUAGUUCAUGUAGGUUGGAUCCUUGCUUAAGGCAUAAAUGAAGUACUUGGUUGGUUAUGGAGGCAAGGUUUCCUAGUUUGGUUGGUGAAUUGAGUUGUGAUAUUAGAGUAUUUAGCUCUCUUAAGGUUUUGUUAGUUUUUGUGUGCACCUUUAGAGAGGUGUAAGUCUUGUGAUGCUUUUUAGUUUUUUCUUUUCAAGUUGCAUCAGCAUAAGCAUUCAUGUUCAUAUCUUUACAUGUAGAAUUCCCAGAAGAAGAUGAAAUUCAAGAAGUAGUUUCUAAAAAGGAGUUUGCUCCAGUGCCUAUUCAGCAAGUGGAUGGAGCUAUCUAACUGGUUAUUGGGUAGAAAGGUCUUGAGCCUCUUCACUGCAACAAAGGCAAGCCCCGGUGCAUUUACCCCUUCCUUGUAUUUUUAAAAAGACUUUUAUACACUUAAGUCUAGUGAAAUGUGCAUUAAGUUUAUAGGAAUUGCUUGGAAACUAUUUGAUGCAUUGCCUACCUUGAUAUCCAUACCUUUAUAGAUACUUCUGAUGAAGUAUCAAAAUAUGAUUUACAAAAAUGCUUAGCCCUGCUUAGAUCUUGUGGAUAGAGGUUGUCCUUUGCGUUAAUGCCUAGCUCAGGGUUAUCCUGAGGAAGGAUGGCUUCUACCUGCAAGAAUAUUUUCAUUGGGAGCAUGGUGGGAUCUUACUGCAAAGUUCCCUAUAAUGUGCUCUUUUCAUCCUAAGGAACACAAACAAUCCUAAGGAUGGAAGUACUUAAAUCGGGACUUGGGCUAUGAACAGGUGAUGUUCUACCCAGGUUAAUUAAGGAUUGGAUACAUAUGUAGGCCUGUAUGAUCAAGGACUAUCUUAACUGGCCACAUGCCCUGGAUAUGGGACAGGGUAAGCUUGAACCCGGCUAUUCCAUACAUGAAAAGACAAUCGCGCACUGGGAGUGGAGAGAUGGCGAGAGUGGCACGUACCCUCCUGGCAAAGGACCGCCUAAAAAGGGUGGUGUGCUCUCGGGUGGCGCGGACCUGUUCAUGCAGUGGAGGAUCCGUGGGAAUGGUUGACAUAUGCAAGGGUUAAGUGCUACAUAUGUCGUGUGGUUAGAGAUCCUCAGCUGAGUAAAUCGAUUCGGAUCGCCGUUAUAUCCCCGGAGAGUGGAGACUUGAUCGCUGCCCUGCAACCUAAGUCAGGAUGUAAACAUUAUGAAUAAAAAUGAUGUUGUAUUGAUGAGAUGGUGAAAUUAGACUAGAUGCUACCAGAGUCUAUUAAUAUUUAAUCUGGCGUUAAAAUAUUGAAAGUAAGGACUCACUUUAGCAGGCUAUUUCUGCAAAAGUAUCUAAGUUGAUUCUUGCUAAAGCCUUUUCCUUGAUUCCUAUUUAACCAGCAUAUCCUUGAGAGUCAUUUUUCCUUAGUCGGGUAAGACUUGCGAAAGUACACUCCGUACUCAGGGUUUUCGAACCCAUGUUGCUGUAGGUGAUGAGGAGUACUCUAUGUGUUCGUGAGGCUGGAGGGCGCUUCCAGUUCUAGAGGAGGAUUAGUUAGGCUUAUGUAUAAGCUUUGGAGGGUUCCUACCUUCCUGCUAUUGUAAUAAGUUAUGCACUUUGAGUAUAUCAGGACUUGUAAUAAAUGUAACUCUUCCUAUGUAAUAACCUUCAGUUUUAGAAAUAAAAAGAAUGUUUUGUGAAGUCUUUCGCUCUUAUCUUCGAAGUGUGUGUAUCAAAUGUGAUUACUGUAAUAUGCAUGUAUGGUGGGAGAUCCUUGGGAUGAUGAGUUCAAGUUGUUGAACUCGUGAUAGCCUUGUUAAGUUACCUGGUACACGUGCAUAGCCAUCUGAGGCCAUCAAGGCAAGGAUUGGUGCACGUGGGCCCGAUAACUUGGGAGGGCUGCCACAGAUUGGUAUCGGAGCGAUCCCCCAUUAUCAUGGAUAUUAAAGUAAUCCUUUGAUAUACUUCAAAAGGAUUUUGAGUUCAAAUUAUUUUGGAAAAACUUAAGAAUAUGAUCAAAUCCUGAUAGUCGAAGUGCAAAUAGUAUAUAGUUAAGAUAAGGACUAUAAGGUGGCUUAGUUUAGGAUGCUAACCACUAACCCACAACUAUAAUGUAAUUUUCUGCAGGUACACUAACUAAACCCUAGGAAAGUGCGACUAGUGUUCAAUAACGGAGUGAGUAGGUAUGCCACCGCCAUAGAACGUGAUAGCCACUAUAUGUUGGCAAGAAUUGUCAGGACGAAUAGGUCGAGCAUGCAUCAUGACAUACAAUUUUAAGUUAAGCCCCCUAUAUAGUAGCUUAGUACAUGUUUCAUUCAUCCUAUUCAUGCUACCUAUCUUUGCUUUUCUAUACUACCUUUUCCUAUUCGUGAAGCCUUGGAACUCAGCUCAUUUGGUGGACCAGUAGUUUAUAAGGUAUAGUUGCAAAAAAAAUUGUCAACAGUGCACAACAUGUUCCACGUGUCCCAGUUAAAGAAAUGUUUUCGAGUCCCCGCGCAUGUUAUUGGGAUUUCAGGUGUCAAUAUUGAACCAGAUUUAACCUACUUGGAAUAUCCCAUAAGGGUGUUGGAUCUAAAGGAUCAGGUCACUCGAAGAAAAGCUAUCAUGUUUUACUAGGUACAGUGGAACCAACACCCGGAAGAUAAACCAUAUAGGAAUCGGAGGAGUAUUUAGAAAAACAUUUUCCUGAGUUCUUAGUUUCAUCUAAGCCGUACGUUUUAUGUAGUUGUUUUUUUUAUGUGAACCAACAAGGAUACACCCCCUGUCUUGUAGGAGUAAUGGGAAAUAAGCCAGUGACACAUUUCCUUUUCCAUUACCUAGCCUAGAGUUUUAAAUCUCGGGACGAGAUUUCUUUUAGGGGGGAAGACUGUAACACCCCUGGUGUUACGUUAACUAAAACUCUGACAUGUCAUCAUAAGCAUUUGCAUUAUCUUGUUUGAUAUACCUAGAAUGCAUUCACUAGGUCAAAAAAUUUUCAUUGAAUGUGGUGUUGUGUAUUAGAGUACAGGGCUCAGAUUAAGAACUUUGCUUAAGACAUGGGAAGAAAAGUCGUCUCUUGAGCAAGUAAUAAGUUGGCUUGGAAUUUAAAGUAUUAAAGGUAAGACUUAGAACCUAGAGCAACUUUGUUUUCAAAGGGAGAUUAAGUGGAAGGAACACUUGAGCUCAAGGAUCAACUUAGAAACCUUAAUGUAAGGGUUGAAAGUUUGUUUGCAAUUAUGUGUAAGCAAACAACUCCUAAACCAAGGAUACCUUGGACCUGAGUUCUAUAAGAUAAAGUUGAAUUUGAGAUUAAGAAGCAACUUUGCUUUAGGAGGAUGGAUAAGUUUGCUUUUGAUAUGUGGAUUAUAAGUGGUGAAGUACUUGGGGUGGUUGAGUAUCUCUAACCCCUAAACUGGAGCCCAAAAGUGGAUUUGGAGAUCUAGCCACAUUUUGCAAGAGGUAAAAAUACCAAGUUGGUAGGAUUUCCAAAGUUGCACAAUUUUGUUAUUUGGAGAUUUCCAUGUUGUGUGGAGAAAUUUGGAGAAAUUCACAAAGGUUCAGUUUUAGAGUUCCUGAAAAUAGCAGCAACUAGGCAAUUUUAGUCCUUUGUAACUUUUGAUCUAGAACCAUUUUGAAGAUGAUCAUUAUAACAAAGUUAUAGAGCUACAUGAGGAGUAUAAGUUUGGUUAAGUCACCUAGCACUAAAACUGUUUGGAACUUAGAGAAAACCUGGUCCAAAGUAAAGCUGUCAGAAAUUGUAGGUUUCAAACUUAGUGAAAUUCAGAUCCUGAAUUUCAGCAAUUGGAGCAAACUUUGGACUAUUGUAGUUUGGAAUCCAAGAGGUUUUGGUUAAUGACCAUUAUAGAAACAUUGUAGAAUAAGUACAGGAGAGAAACUUUUAUUAAGUGUGACAGCCCUGGAACUAUAUACAACUAGGAGAAAAGGUGAUCCAAAGUGAGGUUGUCAGACUUUUUGAGUUUUUAGAUUGGGAACAGUGAACUGAAACUAAGAUUUCAGUAUAUAUAGCUGUUUUUGGAGCUCAAUUGUGUCUAAUCCAUGAGGUUUUGGGCUGUUGAAUAUAUAGAGGAAUUAAAGACCAUAUGAUGGUGAAUAAGUCUCCUUAAGUGACUUUGGUUUGAUCCUACACAAAAGUUGGAAAGAAAGCUUGCUCAAGGUUAGACUGACAGACAGUGCUUUAAUUGCAUUUGGUUCAGUUCUGAAAUCUGAAAUUUGUUGUUUGGUGCCAAGUUUGGAGCCCUUUUGUGGUUGUUAUAUAAGGUUUUGGACUGAGGUUUUUGUAGUGUAAGUGAAGACCACCCAAUGGUGAACAACUGUAUUAAAGGAUGAUGCACAUGAUCCCAAAUAAAAAGUGGUGUAACAGCUGCUCAAAGUUUGACUAUCAGGUGGCUAGCGACAGUCUAUUCAAAGCUGAAAUCUGGAAUUUCAGUGAAGAGUGCCUAGUUUGGAGUGCUUUUGUAAUUAAUCCAUGUGGUUUUGGGCUAAGAACUGUGUGGAGAAGUUGUAGUCCACUGUACCGAGAACAAGUUUUAUCAAGUAAGAUAGCCUUGGUGCUGCACAAAAAGAGGAGUAAAAGUGGCUCCAAGUUGUGCUGUCAGGCUUAGGAGGAGAGAAAUUCAGUUAGCUGUUCCUAAAGAAUUCAGUGUGCUUUUACUCACCUUUGGAGCUCUGUGGUAAUUAAUCCAUGGAGAUUUUUAUUAAGAGCUCUAUGGCAAAGUUAAAGACCAUUUGAAGGAGAACAAGUUUAUGCAAAUAAUUGGUCUUGUUAUUGUGUGUAAUUUGGAGAUAAUAGUGUUACAAAACUUACUCUGUCAGACUGAGUGGUGUGAUGUUUCAGAUUUCUGAAACUGAAAUUUCAGUGACAUUGGCUAUAUUUUAGGGUACCAUAACUUUUGUUUUAUAUGCUUUUAGUUAUGGGUUGCUAUACAAAAGACAUAUAGCUAUGAAUAUAGAAUAACUUUGGUGAAGAGAUAGUGGUCUGUUGCUAUGAAGAAUUGGGAGAUCAGAGGGCCUGAACUGGGAGGAAUGGAAUGAAGCAGCAGGCUGAUACAAUUGAGUUCAAUGUGGCAUUCGAAUUCUGAAGAAGAUCACUUCCUCUCUGUUAGGUUACUCGAGUAUUGGAUGGAGUCAAGGUUGAGAUACAUCACUAUGGGUCUAGGGGCCUUAUUUGCUGCUGGGAAAAUAGCAGAUUUGGACUGUUUUGGUGGGCAGUGAGGCCUUAUCUGUUGGAUCUGUGGUGGAAUUAACUAGACAGCAAAAAUCCAGUGGUUUCAUGCCUUCACCCCAGUAGCAAAUAUCAAGUUUUGGACCAUAGUGCAUACCCAAGUGGGAGACUUAUCUACUCCCUUUCCUAUCUGUUUACCGAACGAAGGGAUGGAUAUUUUGGCUGUGUGAGAUAGACUAAAUGCAGUGUAUUUGAGCUGUGGUUAUGAGCCUAUGUGGUGUGGGUGCAUGGGAGCCACGUACAAUAGGUCAUGCAGUGCUGGCAUUCCCACGGUUCUCCUACAUCAGGUCUGAGUUGAGCUCCAUACCCUGCCUACACAUUCAGUUGUACUUGUCCAUAUCCAGUACCCUUCGCUUGGGUUCAGUAAAGCUUCCCCUUGCCCUCAGGUUUUAGCUUGAGACCACUGCGUAAGUGCUGGAAUUCCUGUGUUCACGCUAGUACUCACCUCUCCCCAGUCACCAAACUUCGCCCCUCAGAAACUUGCACGCCAUCUUCCUGCCAGUGGUGACCAUAGCAGCAGUUUACAUCCUCACCAUGGCCAAGAUUCGUCGGAGGUUGUCUCGGUCGUGUGGUGCCCGUUCCUUGUUCCUCACAGGUCAGUGAAGCUCACACCAUUUACUGCUUGAACUCUACCACUAUUGGUUGCCUGGAACUAGGUGUGAAAUUUGCUCAAACAUAGGCUGUCAGAUUUCUGGAUCCCAGACUUAGUGCAUAAGGCUGAAACUAGGUUUUAGUGUGUUGAGCUCCACUUUGGUGCUUCAUAAAAAUUGUUCUGAAUGUUUUCAACCUAGGGGUGCUAUACCAAAGUAGUAGAGCUAUAUCUAAGGAAUAACUUUGGUAAUGUGAGUUUGGUCUGUUGCUGUGUAAAAAUUGGAGAAAAGGUUGGCUAAAGUUGGUCUAUCAGGAUGGACACACAACUGAAUUUUUAUUCAGUUCUGAGAACUGAAUUGCAGCAGGAUGCCUAGUUUGGAAUUCAUUUGUGACUGAUUCAUGGGGUUUUGGAUUAAGGGUUCCAUAGCAAAGUUGUAGACCAUAGUAAAGUGAACAAGUUUGCUAAAGUGAGAUGGACCUGGUUUCACAUAAAUUUGAGAGUAAAAGUGACCAAAAGUUUGACUGUCAGGUGGUUGGUGACUUAGUCUAUUCAGAACUGAAAGUCUGAAAUCAGUAAUUUUAGUGCAGUUUUGGAGCUGUGUAGUGCCUGUUCUAGGUGGUUUUGAACCAAAGUUUCUACAGCAAGUUUGAAGAACAUGUGUUAGAGAACAACAUCCUUUAGGUGAGUUGGGGUUGAUCCCACACACAAAGUGGUGUAAAGACUGCCCAAAGAUGGACUUUCAGUUGCGGAGACUGAAUUUCAUUCAGCUGCCUGAAAACUGAAUUUGCAAUGUGUAUUUUCAGUCUUGGAGUGUUAUACCAAAGUGGAAGAGAAAUACUUAGGGAAUAGAUUUGGUUAAGUAAGUGGGUCUCUUGUCAUUUGAGUUUAUGAGAUAAAAGGCAUUGAACAGAGGGGAGAGGAAUGGAGC
rnacentral:lncRNA from 1 species